UGGAAUGUUCUUUUGCUCAAAGGUAACGUCUAAGGAUGAGUUGGCGGCUGAUUAGGCUGUUGGUAGUGUAAAGGACUACCAAACCUUUGAUCAGUACGGGCCGUGAGAGCGGUAGCCCGGAGAAGGGUACUGAGAUACUGACCCUAGCCCUACGGGGUGCAGCAGGCGCGAAACCUUUACACUGUACGGAAGUGCGAUAAGGGAACUCCUAGUGCUCAUGUAUUGCAUGGGCUUUUGCCAAGUGUAAAUAACUUGGCGAAUAAGUGGUGGGUAAGACGGGUGCCAGCCGCCGCGGUAACACCUGCGCCACGAGUGGCAAUCACGUUUAUUGGGCCUAAAGCGUUCGUAGCCGGAUUGGUAAGUCUUGGGUGAAAUCGUUGCGCUUAACAAAACGACGUGCUUGAGAUACUAUCUGUCUAGAGACCGGGAGGAGUAAGGGGUAUUCCUGAGGGAGCGGUAAAAUGCUAUAAUCUCAGGAGGACCACCUGUGGCGAAGGCGCCUUACUAGAACGGGUCUGACGGUGAGGAACGAAAGCUAGGGGAGCAAACCGGAUUAGAUACCCGAGUAGUCCUAGCCGUAAACUCUGUGAACUAGAUGUUGCAUAUUCUACGUGAAUAUGCAGUGUCGGAGCGAAGGUAUUAAGUUCACC
rnacentral:rRNA from 1 species